GGAUCUGUUCCACAUCUCAUUUGAGUUCACAGGCUGACAGAGACUUCCAUUCUAAACAUUCUUCCAUUGUGAGGGAACAGGAACAGGUGCUUCCAUGAUUAGGGGGAAGGGACAGGGAGAAUCAUGCAAUAGUUCGUGAAGCUUCCACAUUACUGUGCAUUUUUCACUGGGCAGGUGACAGAACCAGGAUAUUUGCAAGCAGCCCUAAAGGUUACCACAGUGGGCAAGCAAUAAUAUCUGCAUAUCCAAAUUAACUGCUCUUUGAAAUAAUUAGAACUCGUUUUACUCUAGAAAAUAUAUUUUGGAAAAGAACACACAUUGGAAUAAUGACGAAAAAAAUUGCUUUCUGUAUUGCAAAAUGUAUACGUUCCUUUAACAGAUUUAUAUCAAGCACCUAUAUACUUUAUGGCAGAAAUUAUGCUAAAUCCUAAGAAUGAAACAAUAAUGAAGGCAAAGCUAUUCCCUGCCAAAAGGAACUUAGAGUUUAACGAACAAAGCAAACGGAUGAACAGGUAAUUACUGUACAGAGUGACCCAUAUUGUUAUUGUUCAGGGAAUUAGAGAGGGCACCUAAUAUGGUCUUGGGGAUGUUUCAGUAAGUUUCCUGGAAGAAAUAACAUAUAAGCUAAGACUUAAAAGAUAUGUAGAAAUUAGCUAGAAGGAAGGCAAUGGUGUGUGCAUGUAUGUGUGUAUUAGUUUGUGUUUGUGUUUGUGUACUGGGCAAAUAGACUAUUCCAUGUAGAGG
rnacentral:lncRNA from 10 species